UGGAUAAUUGCAUGAGUUCAGGCUAGGAAUCCUUAAAUGGUUCCUCCUAUGUUUGAAAGCUUGCUCUCUGUACACUUCCUUCAGUUAGCUUCCAUGAUAUUAUUAGCAACAGUACACCUUUGAACAAUAUAUUUCCUUUAUUAUGUCAUUAGUUUUAUCAUGUGAAUGACUUCAAUAUAUCUAAAUAUAUCACAUUCAGAAUAGAGAGAAGUUUAAAUUAACAUUUCCAAAUUCCUAUUUAAUUUAGAUUGCAAGAGAUGUGAUCAAGGCAUGUGGACCCUGCCUCUUAAAGCUUUAUUUUAGGUUUGUGAAUAUGAUGCUUAUUCUGCUGGCAGUGAGAAAAGAAGGGAUUUCUCUUCUGUGUAAAUGAAGUAGUAAGGGAGAGUCUAUUAGGAAAUCCAAAUAACAGGUGCCUGUCUUGAGACUGGUCUGUAGAAAUUCUGAUCCCUCAUAACAACAACUGAAGUCAACGGGAGCUGUGCUUUGAAUGUGUGCGUUCUGCACUUCGAGUGUCUGGUUAGAAAUGUUGAACACUCAGAAUGGCAACUGAACUCCAUGACAACUGUGCUUCAAACAUACAAAGUACCAAAUAAUGCUCAGAAAUCUAAGAAGUCAGAUGAUAUGUACUGAGUCAGAUAAUUGAGCAUCCAUAAUUCACAGUGUCCAUUUCCAUGGAAACAGGAACAGGUACAGCAGCAUUCAGCAGAGCUGUUAAGAAAUCUUGGCUAUUGCAGCUGGGACUGAAAGUGGAAUGGCUGUUAUUCAAACUGAACUUACAGAUUUGGUGUGUUGGAAGGGCAUUUGACAGUUACGCUUCAGCCAGAGGCCUCAGGAAAUUCUGGCCAACUCAGCAGUAAUUGUUCCCAGAGGCAGCUGGGCUGAACACCGCAGCAUAGCAGCUUCCAGACCCCUUAGCCUUGUCUACUAGGUGAAGUCUUGAAAAAUUUCCCACCAUUGCUACCAUCUUAUUUGAAUUAUAAACAGACCGAUUGUUAGUCUGUUGCUGUUAGUUUAACAUAACCAAGAUGAUAUGUUCAUUUCUGUCAAUCAGUGACACAAACAAUGUAAGAUGACAUCAACUGCAGCGAUUUCCUAAAUAUUAAAUAGCUCUUACUAUUGUGGCCUUUUUUUUCUUUCAAUCACUGUAAAGGUAGCAUAUAUUGUUUGCCCUUUCUUUAUGAAAUGGGAAUUGUUUUGGAUUGCUAUACUUUGCUAUUCUGUAGAUUAUGUCACUGGUCUUUAUAAAGUUCAGAUGUUUUGUUAAGUAAAUUUUGGAAAUUAAUUGUAAUUGAAGUGAAGCAGUGGAUAAGAGACAAAAGUGAAGAACUGUAACGUACCUUAAAUUCAAUCAUAGUGUCAAAAAGUCUUCUUACCAAUGAUGACAGACUAUUUUUCCUGACCAUUUAGAAAUAAUAUGGACAUUUCAAGCUGUUAGCAUUGGUAAACUAUAAACAAGCAUGCUAAAUUGUUUUAACCAUUUUUUAUGUUUCACCUGCAAGUUACAGUUAUGUUCAGACAAAUGGCUUUUCCAUUUCACUUUGCAACAGAAGUGUAACCACCAGGGUCUGCAUCCUGGGUGACAGCAGCAAGAGGGGCAGCAGCUGGAUUGGCAACAGCUGUGCCUACUGUUCUUGCCCUGGUUGCUUACCCCUCAUUAUGCUACAGCUCUCCAAGUUGCUUGGGGCUGGCCUCUGUCUUUGUACCCUGUGAUUCUACCAUAUAAUGUAAAACUCUACAUUUCAUUUACUUGAAAAUUAAUGAAUACAAAAUAAUGUUAAAAUAGCACAAGCAAUUACUAAAUUGAUGAUGCUGAACUGAUGUGGGCCACUCUUGAAAAUCAGACCACUUGACUAAGCAUAUAAGAGACUACUUUAGGUGUCCAUUUUUAGUACUUCAUACCUAAUACUGUUAUGGGGUAACAGUAAUCUGCUAAUCCUAGACCUUUUUUUUUUUUUUUUUUUCAAAACCCCAAAAAACUUUAAAAGUUCUCUCUGCAAUUGAGAAUCUAGCAUAUUGUGUUGCUAUGUUAAUUGUGCUUCCAACUGGUAAAGGGCAAUCAUGCAAUUUAUUUAAUAGAAAAACUUCUGAGAAAAAGUUUUGUACUUGGAUUCAAACACUAAUUGGAUAUAAUGUGCUUUAGAACAUCCACAUACAACUCCAAAGGGAACCGCAGAGUGAAAUUCACUUAUCCUGAUUGGAUUAAACAGCAACUAUGCUGUACUAGGAACAAGAAAUCAAGCUGUUUGUGCAACAACAUACUCUGCCAACCUUCCAAUGUACAAUGCCAGUAAGCAAACAACUCCUGUCUUGGAAUAUAGAAUCUAAUAAAACAAAUGCAUGGACUGCUAGAUCAGGUGGAAAUGAAUAGUUGAUAAAAAUUAUUUCUGCUGCUUAAUUAUUUAUGUACAAACUGCAAACAGAAUAACUUAUUUUGGUUUGUUUUCUUUUUUUGUAUUUUUGUAAUUCAUUCCAACGUUGUGUGUUUGAACAUUCUACUCUGAUAUUAUGAGACAGCGCUUCUGCUUUGGAGAUACUGCAAAGAGAACGAGGAAGAGAAAGGAAAAAGUUUAAUGGUAAAAACAGGAUAGAGUGGAGAACAGAUGCUGUGAAAAACAGCUAUGGAGGGGCUUUGCUGAGGAGUAGCAGGUCAACUUUUUUUUAAAUGGGAACAUGACCCCAAACCUUUUCCUUGGUUCUGCCCUUUCUGAUUCUUCCACUGCAUGAGGAGGGAUUCCACUGGUAAUAAUGAUAA